rnacentral:lncRNA from 7 species
UACUAAUGGAUCCUCCUCCCCAGAAAAAGAUCAGGCUGAUGGGGAGGAGAGAAAAAGUAGAGCCCAUGGAAGUAGAUGAAGAACACCUGGAGCCCAUGGAGGUGGAGGAACAUCAAAAUGAAGAACAGGCGAUGGAGGUGGAUUCACCUCCAGAAGAACAACAGCCAAUGGAGGUGGAUCCACCUUCACAUGGGCCCAAGAGACAGCGCCCAAGCAGCCACAGGGACAGCAUCAGAAAGUGGCGUGAGAAGCUCCGGAAGAAGACCAGGAGUCGGAGAAAGUAGGAGUCCUGCCAGAAAGGUUGAAUUCCAUCUCAACUCCUAUGGAUGGCAGCACGAGCUGAUGGCACUCACUAUCUAACAGCAUAGUGCACCUUGAUCUCCGAAGAGGAUGCUCCCGAAACACCAUGAGCCUUUCACUCCUACACCUACGCCCUUCUUGGACUGUUUUUAUUUUGUCUCAGUUAGGAAGCAGUAGCAUUUAACACUUGCAUAGCUAUAAUAAUCCUAUAAUUAUAAGCUUAGUAUAUAGUAAUAGAAUUCACUUUUAAAAUUUAAAUAUGUUAUAUAUUUUAUAUUUAUAUUUAUAUUUAUAUUUAUACUUAUACUUGUAUUUAUAUUUGUAUUUAUAUUCAUAUUUAUACUUAUAUUAAUAUUUAUACUUAUAUUUAUACUUAUACUUGUUUGUAUUUAUAUUUGUAUUUAUAUUUAUAUUUAUUAUAUAAUUAAUUAAAAUAGUAAUUGACCUCUAGUUCCUAUGAAGUUGCAAACAAUGUCUCAACCUUACUCAAAGAGAAAUUACUCUAAGGCAAUCUUUUCUUGUAGAAAUAAAGAUUUGUGUUUCUUU